rnacentral:rRNA from 1 species
UACGAAGGGGGCUAGCGUUGCUCGGAAUCACUGGGCGUAAAGGGCUCGUAGGCGGCCAACUAAGUCAGACGUGAAAUCCCUCGGCUUAACCGGGGAACUGCGUCUGAUACUGGAUGGCUUGAGUUUGGGAGAGGGAUGCGGAAUUCCAGGUGUAGCGGUGAAAAUGCGUAGAUAUCUGGAGGAACACCAGUGGCGAAGGCGGCUCACUGGCCCGAUACUGACGCUGAGGCACGAAAGCGUGGGGAGCAAACAGG